UACGUAGGGUGCAAGCGUUGUUCGGAAUCAUUGGGCGUAAAGCGCGUGUAGGCGGUUUGUUAAGUCGAGUGUGAAAUCCCUGGGCUCAACCGAGGAAGUGCAUUCGAAACUAACUGGCUAGAAGACGGUAGAGGAAGGUGGAAUUCCAAGUGUAGAGGUGAAAUUCGUAGAUAUUUGGAGGAAUACCGGUGGCGAAGGCGGCCUUCUGGACCGAUCUUGACGCUGAGACGCGAAAGCGUGGGGAGCAAACAGG
rnacentral:rRNA from 1 species